UUAUCAUUUCUAUCAAUUGCCCUCUGACUGCUGUUACGCGCGUGUUUGUUUGCUGUAGACCUCCCCCGCACACACCUCAGAGGGGUGUCCGCGGGGAAGCAACGUGGAAGUGGUACACAGAGGGUUUGGUGAAGGUAAACGGGCCACCGUGCCUGAUUUUUGUUUCUUUUCCUUUUUCGUUACGGAUCGCCCGCCACCGCCAGGACGGUGGCGUUUCGCAGGUAUUGGGUGGCCCGACAGGGGGUGGAUGCCUUGUGGCUUCCUCUUCCCUGAAGUUGUUUUCUGUUUUCUUUUGAUAAUGAUCCUUCCGCAGGUUCACCUACGGAAA
rnacentral:misc_RNA from 1 species